rnacentral:rRNA from 1 species
GACGAACGCUGGCGGCGUGCUUAACACAUGCAAGUCGAACGGUAAGGCCCUUCGGGGUACACGAGUGGCGAACGGGUGAGUAACACGUGGGUGAUCUGCCCUGCACUUCGGGAUAAGCCUGGGAAACUGGGUCUAAUACCGGAUAGGACCACUGCCUGCAUGGGUGGUGGUGGAAAGCUUUUGCGGUGUGGGAUGGGCCCGCGGCCUAUCAGCUUGUUGGUGGGGUGAUGGCCUACCAAGGCGACGACGGGUAGCCGGCCUGAGAGGGUGACCGGCCACACUGGGACUGAGCUACGGCCCAGACUCCUACGGGAGGCAGCAGUGGGGAAUAUUGCACAAUAGGCGCAAGCCUGAUGCAGCGACGCCGCGUGAGGGAUGAAGGUCUUCGGAUUGUAAACCUCUUUCAGUAGGGACGAAGCGAAAGUGACGGUACCUAAAGAAGAAGCACCGGCUAACUACGUGCCAGCCGCCGCAGUAA